ACCUUUGUGCAGUGGCAGUAUCAUAGCCCAUGAGGUUAAUCUGAGGCACAAUUAUUGGUAGUUGAAAACUUUUCCCAAUAUUCCCGCCAUGGCAACUUGAAAUAUAGUUGACAAGGGCUUUAAACUAGGUUU
rnacentral:snRNA from 1 species